GAAUGCUGCCACACAGGAAUUCGAGUGCUCAAUAGCGUCUGCUCUUGGAAGCUAAGCAGGGCUGUGCCUGGUUAGUAUUUGGAUGGAACAUGGAAGUCCAGGGGCCGCUAUCC
rnacentral:rRNA from 12 species